GCCAGUGAAGGUCUAGUAAGAGAGGAGAGGUGGACGUAGUGCGUUUGGUGAGGAAGAUGAGCCGGGCAGCAGCAUUGAGGAUAGAUUGGAGUGGAGAGAGAUAACAAGCAACAAUGUCUGCAGAGAGAAACAAAGAAUUUAUCAAAGAGUUUAUUGGAACAUACUAACAACACCGGUGUUUGUGGCAGUCCAAGACUGCAGAUUAUUUAAAUAAGCACAAAAGGAAUACUGCAUUGGAAGCCCUUAUCCAGGUGUCCAAGCCAAAGGCGUUCACUACACGUCUAGCUUGGGCCAAACGGUAGAUAAAGAUACGCCUUUGUGGGGUUAAUAGCUUCUGUGGGAAAGGCCUCAAAAUAUCUGGAUGUAAAGCGAAGGCCUCAUCUCCAACAAAUACAAAUUAAACCCACCCUUUGUUUCUGUUGGCAUUUGGAGGCAUAAUCUGCCCUGUUUCAGAUGAUCAUGUUUGCUCCAAUGCACCCCCAUCAGAAACUUGGCCAUUUUUACCAAUGUCAACAAAAAUAAACUCAUAAUUUGCAUUCACAAUGGCCAUGAGGAUAAUACUAAAAAAGCCUUUGUGAUUAUAAAAGUAAGAGCCAGUGUUUGGUGGUUGCAUAAUGCAAACAUGCUUCCCAUCUAUAGCACCACCACAGUUUGGGAAAUUCUACUUCUGCUGAAACUCUGCUGCAAUCUAUUGCCACUCUGUUGGUGUGGUUGGGAACUGUGGAAACAGAACAAACAACAUUAAUAUAAAGUUUAUAAUAUUUUAACAGUCCUUUCACAGCCAGCCCUAUUCAGUGAUGAACCACCAGCCACACAGUCACCAACAGGGGAAGAAACAACUGUGCCUACACCCAGCAUGCCAAACACUCGUCCAACCAGGCCCACUAGAGGCAGAAGACGAAGCCGCACAUCUUGAGGAAGCCAUGACACCAUGACACACAGCAUUCUACAGUCAUGCAAAGAUUUCUUCACCAAACCAGCUGAUGAGUUUGAUGCCUAUGGAGUCACUAUAGCUGCAAAGAUGAGGAAUUUAGACCCAAAAUAUCGACUCACGACAGAAUGACUCUUACAUGACAUAUUUUGCAAAGCUAAUAAUGGUGAACUUGACGACAGUUUCACCAUUACUUCAAGUGGUCACUACAGACAAUCACGCAUGUUCCAGCCAACAUACCAACAGCAACAUACAAUGCAAACAUACCCAACACACAUACAGCAACUAAGAUAGACAUAUUACCCACCUUCAGCAAGUACUACACCUUCACCCCAGGAUACUGGGCCCACUUAUACAUAUCAUCAUUUAUAGGUUUUGUGAUUUUGUGUAAAACAUUUUAAUACAAGGAGCAGUUGCAUACAGUUAUGUUGACAACAUUCACAUGAAUAAAGUUUCUGUAUUCUA